rnacentral:rRNA from 1 species
UACGAAGGGGGCUAGCGUUGCUCGGAAUUACUGGGCGUAAAGGGCGCGUAGGCGGAUAUCUAAGUCUGGGGUGAAAGGUUCAACGCUCAACGUGAACAGUGCCUUGGAUACUGGGAGACUUGAGUCUGGGAGGGGGUAGUGGAAUUCCUGGUGUAGCGGUGAAAUGCGUAGAUAUCAGGAGGAACACCGGUGGCGAAGGCGGCUACCUGGCCUAAGACUGACGCUGAGGUGCGAAAGCGUGGGGAGCGAACGGG